rnacentral:lncRNA from 13 species
CACAGGGCACGAUCACAUGAUCUCAUCAAAACAGCAGAAUGUUAUGCUAAAACCCAACAGGAGCUGUAUCGGGGCUAUAUUUUAGCCACUCUUUCACCUUAGAUGACUUUUAGUUUACUUGUCUAUAAAAUGUAGAAUAAUUUCUUAAAGUGUGUCAGAUCUCUCAACUUAAAACAUGAUAAUAAUAGUACCUUUUUAAUAGAAUUGUUGUGAGGAUUACAUCGAAUCCUGGACACAAAGUACUCACCAGGAGGCUUAACACAUGUGAGCUCUCAUUGAAUGAAGUUUAAUGAUUGGCUGGGAGUAAUGAAACUUGGAAAGACUGUGCAGCUGGUGAGUCUUGGGCUAAAGUGUAAUAGCAGAGAGAAAAGGAUAUUGGUAAUGAGGGAAUUGUGGUAUUGUUGAUGGAGUGGCAGGGUUCAUUCCAGGCAGUGAGAACAACAUAAGCAAAGAAACGAAGCAAGAGAAAGAAGCAUUGUGAUGUUAGCAGGGUGGAGAAGGGUUGCAGAGUCACUCUAUCACCCCAGUGGUGUGCAGUAGCAUGAUCUCACCCACUGAAACCUCUGCCUCCCAGCCUCAAGCGAUUGUCCUGCCUCAGCCACUCAAGUAGCUGGGAUUACAGGAGCAUGCCACUACUGCCCAGCUAUUUUUUUUUUUUUGUAUUUUUAGUAGAGAUGGAGCUUCACCAUGUCGGCGUGGCUGGUCUUGAACUCCUGACCUCAACUGAUCAACCUGCCUGGGCCUCCCAAAGUCCUGGGAUUACAAGCACUGUUAGAAAGAAAAGGAGGAGGAAAAGAAGAAGAAAAUGAAGACGUUAAAAUUUAUUGUGGUCUUAGUAUGUGUCAGAAGCUAUGAUAAAACAUUUUAUAUGAACACAUUAUUUAUUUUCCCAAAUGGUAAGACAUCUAGUUAUUCUUCCAAUUUUAAAGAUGAAGGAAUCAGAGACAAAUUAAUUUGCCAGUGACACUCAGCUAGGAAGUGGGAGAGCCAAAACUCCAGCCUCAAUCAGAUUAACUCCAAUCUCAGGCUGUAAAACACUGCAUCACACUAUUUGCAAGAAAAAAAUUCUCCAUUUUUUAAAAAAAGAUGAUUAUAGAGAGAGGGAAAUUAUCACAAUUCCCUUUCAAAUAUCUGUCUUCAUCAUUAGCUUAUGUCCUUCUAGACUCUAAGAGAUUCUCUAGGACCUAGAGAAUAAAGCAUACAGAAGGCUCUGUAAAUUAUUCA